UGAAGGUCCCGCCUCGUGCGGACCGAGGGAAGAUGGGCCGCGCUGCUGUGCGGGUCCGCUUUCCCGGGGCGUCUCGUUCUCAUUGCGAGUUGAGGCGCACCCAGAGCGUACACGUUGGGACCCGAAAGAUGGUGAACUAUGCCUGGCCAGGACGAAGUCAGGGGAAACCCUGAUGGAGGUCCGUAGCGAUUCUGACGUGCAAAUCGAUCGUCGGAGCUGGGUAUAGGGGCGAAAGACUAAUCGAACCAUCUAGUAGCUGGUUCCCUCCGAAGUUUCCCUCAGGAUAGCUGGUGCUCGAACGAGUCUCAUCCGGUCAAGCGAAUGAUUAGAGGCCUUGGGGCCGAAACGACCUCAACCUAUUCUCAAACUUUAAAUGGGUGAGAUCUCCGGCUUGCUUAAAACAUUUUUGAAGCCGCGAGAUUUAAUUUUCUUGGAUCGGAGUGCCAAGUGGGCCACUUUUGGUAA
rnacentral:rRNA from 1 species